rnacentral:rRNA from 1 species
GGAUUAGAUACCCUGGUAGUCCUAGCCGUAAACGAUGGACACUUUGUCUUGGGGGCACCUGAUGCCCUCGGGGCCGUAGCUAACGUGUUAAGUGUCCCGCCUGGGGAGUAUGGUCGCAAGGCUAAAACUCAAAGGAAUUGACGGGGGCUCACACAAGCGGUGGAGCAUGUUGUUUAAUUCGAAGCAACGCGAAGAACCUUACCUGGACUUGACAUGCAAGAAGUAGAACCCUGAAAGGGGAACCACCGGUAACCAAUCCGGAACUUGCACAGGUGCUGCAUGGCUGUCGUCAGCUCGUGCCG